rnacentral:rRNA from 1 species
GACGAACGCUGGCGGCGUGCCUAAUACAUGCAAGUCGAGCGAGCGGAACUAACAGAUUUACUUCGGUAAUGACGUUAGGAAAGCGAGCGGCGGAUGGGUGAGCAACACGUGGGGAACCUGCCCCAUAGUCUGGGAUACCACUUGGAAACAGGUGCUAAUACCGGAUAAGAAAGCAGAUCGCAUGAUCAGCUUUUAAAAGGCGGUGUAAGCUGUCGCUAUGGGAUGGCCCCGCGGUGCAUUAGCUAGUUGGUAAGGUAAAGGCUUACCAAGGCGAUGAUGCAUAGCCGAGUUGAGAGACUGAUCGGCCACAUUGGGACUGAGACACGGCCCAAACUCCUACGGGAGGCAGCAGUAGGGAAUCUUCCACAAUGGACGCAAGUCUGAUGGAGCAACGCCGCGUGAGUGAAGAAGGUUUUCGGAUCGUAAAGCUCUGUUGUUGGUGAAGAAGGAUAGAGGUAGUAACUGGCCUUUAUUUGACGGUAAUCAACCAGAAAGUCACGGCUAACUACGUGCCAGCCGCCGCAGUAAAAC